UACGUAGGGUGCAAGCGUUUAAUCGGAAUUACUGGGCGUAAAGCGUGCGCAGGCGGUGAUGUAAGACAGUUGUGAAAUCCCCGGGCUCAACCUGGGAACUGCAUCUGUGACUGCAUCGCUGGAGUGCGGCAGAGGGGGAUGGAAUUCCGCGUGUAGCAGCGAAAUGCGUAGAUAUGCGGAGGAACACCGAUGGCGAAGGCAAUCCCCUGGACCUGUACUGACGCUCAUGCACGAAAGCGUGGGGAGCAAACGAGG
rnacentral:rRNA from 1 species